GCAGACCCGAAACCAAGUGACCUACCCAUGACCAGGUUGAAGGCGCGGUAAAACGCGCUGGAGGACCGAACCCACGUAAGUUGAAAAUUGCGGGGAUGAGUUGUGGGUAGCGGUGAAAUUCCAAACGAACUUGGAGAUAGCUGGUUCUCUCCGAAAUAGCUUUAGGGCUAGCCUCGCAAAGAGGAUGCUGGAGGUAGAGCUCUGUUUGGACUAGGGGCCCGUCAAGGGUUACUGAAUUCAGAUAAACUGCGAAUUCCAGACAUUUAUGUGCGGGAGUCAGACUGCGAGUGAUAAGAUCCGUAGUCGAAAGGGAAACAGCCCAGAUCACCAGUUAAGGUCCCAAAAUUCAUGCUAAGUGGAAAAGGAUGUGGAGUUGCGCAGACAACUAGGACGUUGGCUCAGAAGCAGCCAUCAUUCAAAGAGUGCGUAAUAGCUCACUAGUCGAGUGACGCCGCGCCGAAAAUUUACCGGGGCUAAGCAUGAUACCGAAACUGUGGAUGUGCAUUUAUGCACGUGGUAGGAGAGCGUUCUAGCGGCGGUGAAGCAUGACUGAGAAGACAUGUGGAGCUUCUAGAAGUGAGAAUGCCGGUAUGAGUAACGAAAGACAGGUGAGAAUCCU
rnacentral:rRNA from 1 species